rnacentral:misc_RNA from 1 species
GAAAUGCGAUAAGUAGUGUGAAUUGCAGAAUUCAGUGAAUCAUCGAAUCUUUGAACGCACAUUGCGCCCUUUGGUAUUCCUUAGGGCAUGCCUGUUCGAGUGUCAUCUAAACCUUCAAGCCCUGCUUGGUGUUGGGUGCCUGUCCCGCCUCCGCGCGCGGACUCACCUCAAAUCCAUUGGCGGCCCCCGCGUCGGCCACGAGCGCAGCAGAAACGCGAACUCGUGAGCCCGUCCGGGCGGCUCCCAGAAGCUACACCCACCCAGUUUGACCUCGGAUCAGGUAGGGAUACCCGCUGAACUUAAGC